CCGGAAAAUAUUUUUCAUGCCGACACAGGGAAUUCUGAUUUAAUAUUACAUUUGUAUUCAUAUUUCAAGCAGCUAUUCUGAAUUGCUCUCUAGUCAGUGGGACACAUUAUUUGAAUUUAACAUACAUUGGUCAGGUUUGGAAGAAAUUAGCAUCUUUCAUAUGUAUACUUCCAUUCCUUCCAAUAAACUAAAAGUAAUAGAUAAUUAAAGAGUUCCAAG